AUGGUACUUGACGUUCGGAGCAGCAGUAUGGAGGCAACAACGGCAGGGCGAGGUGGAGGUGCACUGGUGGCCAUCGGGGAGGUGCAGCACGAGCGACAAGGAAUCCAUGGGCGUGCAACAAAGCAAAAGGGGCGCCAGGGCUCAUGGGCGCAAGGCGAGCAGCAGCAGCAGCACAAGUCACGGACCGAGAAGGUGCUGCCAGGCGCUGAUGGUGGAGGUCAACACCGAAGGGAACGGGGCACCGGAGUUGGAUCCGGCCGGGAACGGGCAACGGCGGCGGAGGCCAGCCGGAUCUGGACGGGGUAG
rnacentral:rRNA from 1 species